GUAUGAACUUGAACUAAGCUUCAAACACGUGUAGGAGUAGUGAAUGUGUAAUACCGCUUUAUUAUGGUUCCUUGGCUUCCACAUUUUUAUGUUGUCGACUCAAAUCUCAUGGUCAAAUGUAGUGAAGGGAUGAAAAGGAGGAGCAGCGUGGAAGGAGCAAAAACGGUGCCAUAAUAGGCAGAGUUAGCCCAGACUGAAAACAUGCUCUAAAAGACUUGGUAAGUAUGUUUUCCUGUUGUUCAUCUAACACUGGCAUUCAAAACACAAGAUAAAACUGUCGGUUUUAUAAUUUCCUGUGCUAUCAAAGCGACAGUAUAUCCAACUUUUAAUAAAUCUUUCAGUGCAGAGGGGGCAGCUAAUGGAAAACAUGCUGGGGGUGUGGUACAGCUGUGGGAGCUCUUCACAGCUGAGCAAGAUUUAACUACUCAUCAGAUAAGAACCUGCCUCCUUUAAAGUGUGCGUAUGGCACCUGAUUACAUCAUUUUGAGUAAUUUACAAACCCCUGUUCAGCAGUCUGAAGUAUAUCUGUAGUGAAAGGCUGCACAUAUGCAGGCCAGAUUUUAGCAGUGAAGAUUGAGAAAACAGAUUAGAUAGAAAAAGGAGAUUUUUUAUUUCACGUGCUGUAAGGGCAUCCACAAGGCAGUUUAUUGCGAUUCAAACAGUCUGGGCAUCCAAACUGGGCACCUUUUUCCAUUUUUUUCCACCUUUUCUUUUUACAAACUUGUAGGUAGGGCCCGAAGUGGCUGGAGGAUUAUCUGUUUUUCUAGUGAGGGUGACAAUGCAGGUACAAUUGUACUUUAAUUGUUGUGUAAUAUGUUUUUUAUUAGCCAUGCUUCAGUGUAGCUGCCGUACGCUGUCUCAAUUUCGUUAGGCAGGCUCAGGGUUGACAUAAAAGUAUUUUGAUGCAUGCACUCACACUCACGUACACAUACUUCCUGGCUCCUGUGCACCUUCUCUCCUCUCUAGAUGUGUAGACAAGGAUGUUGACUGAAAAAUACCAUCAAUCUUCAUUUAUAAUGCCUUUUUUGGUUUGUUGCUUUUGUACAGUAUGCAAGCAGCUAUUUUACUGAAAUGUUCACAACAUUAUGAACCAAUGCUUCAUAUGAGGGCUAUAGACUAAUUUGAAGAUUGUGUGGUAGUUGGCUGUGAGAUUUUCCAGCAUCAGUACAUCAUGUGGUGUCAGUAGGGUUGCAGAAUUCCGGGAAUUUUCAAAGUUGGAAACUUUCCAUGGGAAUUAAGGGGAAUAAAUCUGAAAUUUCAAAUUCAACUUUAUUUUUAUGGCACUUUUCAUACAAAAAAAUGCAGUUCAAAGUGCCUCACACAGGCUAAAAAUAACAAUUAACGACAAUAACAUCUGAACCCCCCACCCACAGACCCACACGAGCACAAAGGCACACACCCACCCUCACUCUCUCACCCACACAUACACACUCACAAGCGCACACAGUGUGAGAAUUUAAGAUAUAUUGUUAAAGAGACAUGGCCUGACACAGAGACAUCAAGUGAGGAAAGAGCUAACUUUGGGAAACACUGGAGAUAAAAAUGGUAAAAAGAGUAAAACCUGAUGGACUAAAAUAAGAAAAUAAUAUUAAAUGAACAGAUAAGUAAAAGCACUUUACCAUAUGAAAAAGGGGUAAAAGAAGUAAAAACCUGUGAUGGGAGUUAAGUAAAAGACUAAGAACAGAGAUGAUUAAUAAAAUGACAUGAAAUAAACAAUAAGAACUUCGAUUAAAACGAACAUUUGCAAUAAGAGAAAUAUAAAAAGGCAGUUAGUAAAAAGCGUGGUUAAAAAGGUGAGUCUUGAGCAUCUUCUUAAAUACAUGAACAGUAAAUAGGAGGGGCCAAGACCAUUAAUACAUUUAAAAACUAAUAGAAGAACCUUAAAAUCAAUCCUGAAACGGACGGGGGAGCCAAUGCGGCAAUGCUAAAACUGGCAUUAUAUGCUCUUGCCCUCUGGCCCUUGUCAGCACAAACUUACAAAAUUGAAGGUUGGCCCUCAACAGGGAACUUAAAUAUAGUUGUGGGAAUAUAUUGUAGCAUAAUCUUGGCUAAAACAACCAGAUUUAAUGCAAGUACAAUCAAUCACAUGCAUGCAGUGCACUGCUUACUGCAGGGCAAUUGAGGCCACACCCCCUACAUGCACUGUGGAUUCCUCCAUCACACGCACAGAUGAUUUCUUGAACCCUGGAGGCCACACUUUUGAGCCCAAAGCACAAGACAUUUGAGUCCACAGACUAUAUAAAGUCAAGUAAGUUUUAAAAAUAUUAUGGGGUAAAUAUAUUUGAUCUAUAAUAGUAUUAAUAUUUAACUUGCAAAAAAUAGAUAAAAAUAGGUGCUAAAUGUAAGCUAUUUUUCAUUUCAUUGACCAUUUAAGGGGCUAGCUUAUUAUGGUGGUGGUAGCAACCUCGAAUGUGAUGCUGUUUCUUCUGACUCUUGUAAGACGGUUUUCUGAAACCCAACAAUAAUUUAUAUAUCAAAUGUCAAAUAUUUUGAAUACUAUUCCAGUUGUUUAGCAAUUGCAUUAGUGUUUUUACAAGCUUUUUGUUAUUUUAUUCUACAGAAAAAUGCCACGUUCACCAUCUGAUGUGUGGAAGCAUUUCACACAAGCUAAUGUUGAAGGAAAAAUAUUAACAUUUAUGUUUGGAUAUGAUACAGUUUGUUUAAAUUACCCCCAAUUUCCAGUUAAUUCCCAUAAAUUCCCAUAAUUCCCUUGAAAAGUUUCCAUUUUGGAAUAUUUCCAAAACUCCCAGAGCCGCUCUUUAUCCUUCUGUCCUGAUUGGUUGUGGGGUAGGCUCUACCCCCUGAUGCUGACUUGUUGUGAGAUAGGCUCCACUUCCUCAAAGAGUGUGCAGGAGCAAGCACAAAACAGAGUUAGUUUGCAAAAUGGCGGACAGUUGAACCCAACCAGAAAGAAAGAGCAGUCACAUUUUUCUGACCAAAAAGACUUGGACUUUGGAUAUUAUUUUUCCAUUUAUAUUUUGUUAUAUCUCCUGUGUCAUUUUUUAUGCACCAUUACACAUGCUGACUCGGUUGUGACAAUAGUUAUUGUUCAGUCUUUACUGAUGUAAUUGGUAAUGAAACGUGUGUACAACUUUUCAGAUUUAUUAGAAAACAAUUUCAUUAUGAAAAAAGUCGUAUAGUGUAAGAAUAUGUAUAAAAAACAGCAUUUGUUGUCCUCUCCAGGGUCAGGGCUGUGCACAAUAGCAUCAGUGUUGUUCCAGCCUGGAACAUGGAUGCAGUAUCUUGGAAGUUGCCACAAGUCCUCCAGGUUCAGUCCUCUAAUCCAGGCCUGGAAUGUAAAAUCAUUAAAGUCAUUACAAUCUUGUAUUUAGAGAUGGCUUACCUUGUUUUAUUUCUGUGAAACUAUCACAUAAGUCUUAGAGCUUGAAUGCUCUCCACACCGUGAUGACAAACUAAAAUUACUGUUUUAUUUAUUUUAUUCUUUUUUUUAUUUAAAGCCACCCCAAAAUAAUCGUCAUAGUCCUGUUCAGGAGCUUUUUACACCCAAACCCCUGAGAGAAGUGACCCAGAAAGAGUACUUAGUUAUAAAUUGAAAAAAUCUAUCUUAGUCUGGGUGUUUUUUCUUUAAUCUCAGUCACAUCCCUGAAAUUAUCUUGCAGCAUUUAAGAGUGUUUAUACUUGAAUCUGAUCUUACCUUAUCUCUCUGUUUUUGCCCAGCUUUGAUGUGACUCAGAAGUCAAAUUGCUCCUCCCACAACUCACCAGCAGCCCCUGCUUCACUUACGGCACAUUUGGAAACUUCUAUUCAUUCACAAACAUCAUUACAUCAGCAGAAAUAACUUUAGUGGUGGAGGACACAGUGACAUCUGUAGAAAUGAAAUUGAUCAAAGAGGUGAAAGGACUUUUCAGGCAACUGAAGAAUCAUCUGAGAAAACCAAACCCCAAAUGUGAAGACCUAAAGAGAUCCAAGGAAGUGAUGAAAAACUCAAGAAAGCAAGGAGACUUAAAUUAUGAUCUUUGUGGACUUGCCCAUGAAGAAGCAGUAGCUGAGCCAUUCUAUGUGAAAACCACAGGCACAUCCAUAGCUCACAAAUGGCACCAAAUCAGUAAAAGGUGGGGAGGACAAAUUGAGAAGCUCUUGACAACGCCUGAAAGUAAAGUAAUCAGGAUAGAGAGCAUGAUUUACGUGAAUCGAGAAGAAUUUCGCAUUUCAAAGGGCAGUGAUGGUACCGAAGUGUUCCUGGGGCUCAGAGAUGACGGCACUGAAGUUGCCAUUAAGCGAAUGUCCAAGAGCAACUAUGAGGUCCUGAAGAAUGAGGAAGGGUUUCUACGACUUCCAGAACUGGAUCAUCCAUCUAUCGUGCGAUAUGUGGACUCUGCAGAAGAUCAGUACUUCGGCUAUCUUGGUCUAGCACUUUGUGAAUACAACCUGGAAGAGCUCAUCCCAACCUUCAAAGAUGAUUUCAUCCAUCUGAAGAAACUUGCCUAUCAAGUCCUCCAGAGUUUGAGGAUCCUCCAUGGCCAGGAUCCUCCAAUUCUCCACCGGGAUCUCAAACCACGGAACGUUUUGAUCGGUAAGACAAGUCAGAUUUUGAAAUUGAGAAAUAUUCAGCCUUGUUCAAGUUUGUGAUUGUCAGUGGAAAUGUUUCCAUAUUGAUUUCACCACAGAUGUCAAGAGGAGGCUAAGAUUAGCUGACUUUGGCAUCAGCAGACUGCUACCCAAAGGUCAAACGACGUAUCGUACAGGAGCUGCUGGAACAAAGUGCUGGAAGGCCAAAGAGACCUUAGCAGGAGGAGAUGACAUACCAUACAAAUCCAGCACUGAUAUACAGGCAAGUUCUUUCAAUCACAUUAAUUUAAUGACUUCUUAAAAAAAAUCACUCUCUUACUUGGUGAUGUUGAUUCUUAAGGUGGCAGGCAUGCUGAUUUAUUACAUCCUUUCUGGGGGACACCAUCCUUUUGGCGACAAAGCCUAUGAAUGUGAAUACAACAUUUCCCAGGGGAGGUACAAUCUGGACCAUGUCAAAGAUAUGGUGGCAAAGGACCUCAUUGAGUGGAUGAUAAAUGAAGAUCCCAAGAAGAGACCCACAAUUGAAGAAUGUCUGAGCCAUCCUUUCUUUUGGAACCAAGAGAAGUAAGAAAGACUAAUUGAUUAAUACACAGAUUUAGCUGAUACUUGGUCAAGCUAUUUUUUAUUUCCCACUGGAGGAAAGUGUCAUAUGUUAGGUUAGGUUAGUUGAAGCUCUAUUUAUUGAUUACAGUGAGUCAAGACUAUGCAAACAAAGAUCUUUGGCUCAAAUUAGCUCAUCCUACCAAACAGACAGCUUAGAGGCCUUAUAGUUAUAGUUGAGGAUCCACCUAUCUAGACAAAGAGUUCCUAUACUUGAUGUUGUCUUCACGUGUAGGCUGGUUCAUAUUUCUUCUUCACCUCUCACAUAGAUGGGUCCAGGUGUUUACCUAAUAGGAGUUGUGUUAUGCAUUCUACACUCACCUCUAACACACACACACACACACACACACACAUUCAAUCAUACAGUUUUGCUGUUGCUGGGCAGAUGAUCUAAGUAAGAUUAUCAAGGCAAGUAUCAUAGAUAAAAAUAACUAACAGUUCCAUAACCUUUCUUUUGAAGAAGUUCAAACCGCAAAGCACCCUCUGCAUACUUCCUUUUUCUUAUGUCUGCAACAUGAAUUUUUGUUUUGAUUUAAAGGAGAGUGGAGUAUCUGAGGAGGAUCGGAAACCGAAAGAAAGUGGCAAAUUUCAAAAAUGCUGAGCCCGAGUUUAUUUCUCUGAUGGAAGGAUGUGCUGGGGAAGGAGCCUUCAAAGAGUGGAAAAAACAGGUGACUACUCUUUAUUUGUUAUUUGAACCAAACCAUUUUUUUUCCUGAACUUCAGCACAACUCAGUUUUUUUUUGUUUCACAGUUCCCACUAGAGUUGAUCCAGAAAUUAGAUGGUAAGAAGAAAGCCUACACUGACAACAUUCUGGGACUGCUGCGCUGCAUCCGAAACCUCCUUGAGCACUAGUGAGUUCAGAUUACUUUUAUCAAACGUGCACCCGCCAAUCUCUUGAUUUCGUUUCCCCACCCUCCCAUCUCUUUUCUGGCAAAAAGGUGGUGGGUGGUGUACCGUUUCAAUACUGUCACCAGGGGUCAGUCUGCCAGAUAUUGAUUUGCAAUGCACACAUUUUGCAUGUAGUUCUCACACGACAGAGAUUUCCUUCCCCGAACACCAUUGCAGCCACUUAGGUGAGUAAAAACAGAAGUGCAGUGGAUUGAUUUGUGACUGACAACAACUAGACUUCAUCUCGGUCAGAGCAGAGCCACAGCCUGCACACUCGUCAAAGAGCCCUGCCGCCUCCUUGUGUUAGAGCGGGGGUCAUUGAUCAUAUUGCAUCGGGGCAUAGCAGUCAGGUAAGCUACUGCACUUUCUCUCUGAGUUUGCUAUCAGCAAGUAACAGGAUUUUACUUGAGUCCCAAAAGAAGGAAAAAAUCAGGCUAGAGGUAGGUAGAUACCCCACGUGAAAGUAGCGACUGCUCUGACAAUCACCUCUAAAUUCUAGCUUCUCUAAAUCUCACUUAGUUCAAGAUGAGCACAUUUUACUUCCCACAACAUCCUCAAAUAAGCGUCUCUUUUCUCCUCUGUUGAUGAAAGAACGACUUCAAAAGGUUAUUUGGUACAAUAAAGCGGCAGUAGCUCAGGAAAUAGAGCAGUCGUCCAACAACUGGAAGGUUGGUGGUUCCCCCCUUCCACGAGUCUGUCCAUUGUGUCCUUGGGCAAGACACUUAACUUACCUUGCUCCCAGUGUGUGUCCUCCACUGGUGUAUGACUAUGAGUGUUGUGUGGUGGUGGUCGAAGAGGUUGUAGUUGCAAACUGGCAGCCACAUUUCUGUCAGUGUGCCCCAGGGCAGCUGUGACUACUAAGGUAGUUUACCACCACCAAGGUCUGACUGUGUGAGCAAAUGAAUGAUGUAUCCAAUGUAAAGCGCUUUGAGGGUCUCUGAUAAAGCACUAUAUUAAAUCUGAUGCAUUAUUAUUAUUAUUAUUGUUAUUAUUAUUAUUAUUACAAUGGCUGGUGUUUUAUUUUUAACAUGGUAUCACAAAGUAGCUCAAAAAUGAGUCAUAAUUAGUUCUGCUGAGGGACACUCUUAUCUGUUUUUUGAGUCUUUUCAAUUCUUAAUGCAAAAUCGAGCAAAGAUCAGCCUCUGGUUAAACAUUAGGUGAUCAUAUCCCAAAUAUCAUUGCUUCAUUUACCAAAGGGUUUAGAAAUCUUGGCCAUGACACUAAUGCACUGUAUUUCUGUAUCUGCAGUGAAGAAGAUGCUGCCAAACUUGAUCUGAUGUCCAUGUUUCCUGAUCUGUUUGGCUGCGUUUACAUAUUUGCCAAAAACCAAGAGUGGAAUUCAAAGCCAGCCCUGAAGAAGAUGUUCACACCAGGAGAGUUUCUGGGAGAGGACAUCACCUCAUGAGCAGAAAUGCCAACAAACAUGUCCGCUGUUCAGUUCAGGAAUCUCAACCACUAUCCACUGAGCCAAAUGAAGAGCUUACUGAAUUUUAUAGAUUUUAUUUUGAUAAAAAUGAGACUGAGUCGAUUUGAAGAAACCUCCGCUGAAGGCAGUGAGACUUGUUGCUGUGUAGUUUGGUAUCAGGACCCGCUGUAGAGGUCCAAAGUACACACCAUAGAAAAAAAAACACAUCCAGGAGCCUCUGAGUGAUAGAGCCAAGCUCGAUAAAAUAAUAACCUAAUAGUGUUUAUUUUUCACAUAAAAAUCAGGGAUGAUGAAGCUGCUUUAAGCAUCAUGCCUCUGCUCAUUCUGAAAGAACAAAAGCCUUCAAGUGAAGGCUGUGAGUACUGUAUUCUGCAUCUAGUUUGUGUGUUAUAUCUCUUUAUAUCAAUUGUAUAUUUUGUCUAUCAUGUUUUUUAAAUAUUCUAAGACCCUUGCAAUGUUUAUAAAUUAUUAUAUAGCACCAUAGGAACAGACAUUUGUACAUGCAAUGGACUCUUUAUUAUACAAGUGUUUGUAUGAUGGUGCUGGUGAAUGUAGGUUUUCAAAGCUAGUCCACGCACAGACCAUGCGCCUGUUAACUACUGUGUUUGCCACUGACUGAGAUUGCUUGAUUGGUCGUAGCUGAUAGGAGAUGUUUAUUUCUUCAACCAAAGAAGGUAAUUGACAAUGGAAUUGUGAAAGCUGCAUAUAUUGCACACCUUGUAACUGGGAAACAAAACACUGGAACACUUUAUGGCCUGCCAGUAUACUGAACAGUUCAAAAAGCUGAUGUUUUCAGAGAGGUCAAGUUCAGUGGCUGAUUUAUCUGUGGUUGCACUUUCCUGACAGCGAAUAGCCAAGAGAUUAAAAAAAAAUUUAAAACACUUAUGCUAACUUUGAGACUCAAAACCAUAGACUGUAAAUACUGUGGACAACUCGGUUCCGCCUUCCGCCAGUAUACAGAUUUGAAAAACAGCCAAAAAGCUCUCAGUAUUACCGCGAUUUUUCUCCACUUCCUGAAACCAACAUUGCGCAGUAGCAUUGUACACACUCCACCACUUGCGCAGUAGUGUUGUACACAUUCGGCAGGAGAGUUGCUGAGUUUGUCCGCAGCUCCAUAGGGAUUGCUGGAGGAGGCGGGAUUUAUGACCUAUACUGCAGCCCAUCGUGGUGUCUUCACCCAGCGAGGUGGCAGACGGCGUCCAUUUUAUAUACAGUCUAUGCUCAGGACAUAAAGUGUUCAUGAAUAGAGAAAUUAGCUUUACGGACAAGGGCAUAUUUUUAAGAUAUGACUGAAGAAGGCUGUGAGGGCUGUAAACUGUUUACUUCUGCCGUAGAGUUUUGAUUUUAUUUAUCAGGCCUAAUGAAUAAUAACUUGUGGUGCCAGUCUCUCGUCCUCGUGAAGAACUGUUGGUUGUUGUUCUGGAGCAAUGUGACAGCAAUCAGCCUCAGUGUUGUUGGUACGUAUAGUAUUUGCACACAAUUAACACCUGCUGUUAAUUGGACUUAUUUGUAAAAAAAAAAAAAAAAUGUUCUUGACUUCCAGCAGCCUGUGAUUUUCAAACUGACUUUUAUUAACACUAUUUUUCCAUCCUGUUCGACUUUUAUUAACACUCUAUUUUUUUAUCCUGUUUGUAGACAAUCUUAAUUAUAAGUUUUUUUUUACUUUAUACACAAUCACCUCUUUUGUACAUAAAGGGACACCCUCCUGCUUUGGUUAAGUCUUGCAUUCCUGUCUGUUGUCCCAAUAGCAGAUGUCUUAAAUCUGGAAACUUUUCAUCUCUGUAUCUGGAGCUGCAGAUCUCACAGAGAGGUUGUUACAUCAUUAAUGCUAAGCUUUAACUGUAUGUCUGUUUUGAAUCGUUGUUG
rnacentral:lncRNA from 1 species